rnacentral:rRNA from 1 species
CCUACGGGUGGCAGCAGUGAGGAAUAUUGGUCAAUGGGCGAGAGCCUGAACCAGCCAAGUCGCGUGAGGGAUGACUGCCCUAUGGGUUGUAAACUUCUUUUAUCUGGGAGUAACGUGUUCCACGUGUAGCCUUUUGUAUGUACCAUAUGAAUAAGCAUCGGCUAACUCCGUGCCAGGCGCCGCGGUAAUACGGAGGAUUCGAGCGUUAUCCGGAUUUAUUGGGUUUAAAGGGAGCGUAGGUGGGUAGGUCAGUCAGGGGGGAAAGUGUGGGGCUCAACCAUAACAGUGCAGUUGAAACUGGCAGUCUUGAGUAGGGUAGAGGUAGGCGGAAUGCGUGGUGUAGCGGUGAAAUGCUUAGAUAUCACGAAGAACUCCGAUUGCGAAGGCAGCGUACUG